UACGGAGGGGGCUAGCGUUGUUCGGAAUUACUGGGCGUAAAGCGCGCGUAGGCGGACCUGCAAGUCGGGGGUGAAAGCCCGAGGCUCAACCUCGGAACUGCCUUCGAUACUGCGGGUCUCGAGUCCGGGAGAGGUGAGUGGAAUUCCUAGUGUAGAGGUGAAAUUCGUAGAUAUUAGGAAGAACACCAGUGGCGAAGGCGGCUCACUGGCCCGGUACUGACGCUGAGGUG
rnacentral:rRNA from 1 species